GAUGAACGCUGGCGGCGUGCCUAAUACAUGCAAGUCGAGCGAACAGAUAAGGAGCUUGCUCCUUUGACGUUAGCGGCGGACGGGUGAGUAACACGUGGGUAACCUACCUAUAAGACUGGAAUAACUCCGGGAAACCGGGGCUAAUGCCGGAUAACAUUUAGAACCGCAUGGUUCUAAAGUGAAAGAUGGUUUUACUAUCACUUAUAGAUGGACCCGCGCCGUAUUAGCUAGUUGGUAAGGUAACGGCUUACCAAGGCAACGAUACGUAGCCGACCUGAGAGGGUGAUCGGCCACACUGGGACUGAGACACGGUCCAGACUCCUACGGGAGGCAGCAGUAGGGAAUCUUCCGCAAUGGGCGAAAGCCUGACGGAGCAACGCUGCGUGAGUGAUGAAGGUCUUCGGAUCGUAAAACUCUGUUAUUAGGGAAGAACAAAUGUGUAAGUAACUGUGCACGUCUUGACGGUACCUAAUCAGAAAGCCACGGCUAACUACGUG
rnacentral:rRNA from 1 species